GACGAACGCUGGCGGCGUGCUUAACACAUGCAAGUCGAACGAAGUGGCGAACGGGUGAGUAACGCGUAAUCAACCUGCCCUUCAGAGGGGGACAACAGUUGGAAACGACUGCUAAUACCGCAUACUGAAGGAGGGGCUUGCGUCUGAUUCGCUAGUUGGAGGGGUAACGGCCAAACAAGGCGAUGCUCAGUAGCCGGUCUGAGAGGAUGAACGGCAAAAUGGGGAAUGGGACACGGCCCAGACUCAGACGGGAGGCAGCAGUGGGGAAUCGUCCGCAAUGGACGAAAGUCUGACGGAGCAAAGCCGCGUGAGGGAGGACGGCCUUCGGGUGGUAAAGCUCUGUUAAUCGGGACGCGGUACCGGAAUAGAAAGCCACGGCUAACUACGUGCCAGAAGCCGCGGUAAUAC
rnacentral:rRNA from 1 species